UGUUUGAGCUUUGGAGGUCCUUUAAAAUGUAAGAUGCAGCAACGAUUGUUGUAUCCGAAGCGGCCGCUCUCUCAGUUGCCGAUGGAAACCGACGACGACAUUCUCGGUCCCAUGGACGCAGAAAACGAAUCCCUAGACGAGAGCCAGAGGACCAAGAAGGAGAAGGAGAAGAAGAAGAAGAAGAAGAAGAGGAAGAGACUGGACGUGACGAUGCAGGUCGUCCGCGAACACCCGGACAAGAUCGCCCCUCUCGUCGGGUACUUCCCUUCUGGGUUCGACCCGAGCGGGAAAGGAGGCGAUGGAGAUCAGUGCGAGCCGCCACCUCGGGUUAGGGUUUUCAGGAACACUCGCAAGACUGGUAGGUUACAGUUGGUCGUGAGCCCCGACGAUUCUAAAGUGGAGUUCGUGGGCACCAACUACUCAGGCGAAGCUGCUAGUGCGCAGCUAUGUACUUAUGCUCUUGGGGUGCUCGAUAAGGACGCAGGGACACUGAAGAUUGUUCCAAUUGCAUCGAAUAAGAUAUUUAGAUUGGAACCAAGUGUUAGUGGAUCAUAUUUUCCUAGCGAGGAGCCACCUACUGUGGUUAAUGAACUUACUGCAGAACAGAGGGCAGACAAAAUAAAUAGGCUUACUAGCACUUAUGGAACAAAUAAGUCGAUAAGCAAGGCUAAGAAAAUGCUCUCUCUUAAUCAAAAUGAGGGUUCUAGUGCUCCAAUGGAUUCCGACAGGAAACUGGAAGGAGUUGUUAUAAACAAGGAGGCUCUGGAAAGUGUUGAAACUAUUGCUUCUCGUAAUAUUCCACCAUAUGAUGUCACAGCCACUACAGCUGAGAUGGCCUAUCCACUGGGCAAGAUUAUUCAGAAAGCUGAGUGGGAUUACCUUCUGGAUAUUCUUGAGCUCUUGCAAGCAGGAGCAGAAGCAGAAGUAUCUCCUACUGCCUACCCAAGUUUCGUUUGCAACAGAAUUUAUAAAUUGAAGGAUAUUGAGGAUGAGGAAAAGAAGACGACGCUUGCUUGCAUAUUGUCAUAUAUAACCCAUCUUAUAAAAUUCAAGGAUCAGCAUUCCAUGGAUGGUGCCUCAUCUGCAAAAGAUCAUAAAAUACCAGCAAUCUUAGUUAAGAAGUUUUCAUCUAUGUUUGCCGAUCCAGCAUUGAAAAAACAGCUUUCAGAGGCAAAUAAUGGUCUCCUCAUCAGCUAUGUCCUGGUGCUUACCCUCUUUGCUGAUGAUUUUCGGACUGACCCAUUAGAUAUAGCGAAGGAUCUGAGAAUGCCUGCUAUUAAAAUGAGACCACAUUAUGAGCAUUUGGGUUGCAAACUUGUCCGUCAAAACAACGUGACAUAUGCUACCCUUCCUGUUCCUCUUCAAUUUCCAAAGCCACGGCGGCGGCGAAGGUAGAUGCACAAGUUGUUUUAGUUCUUGCUCUUGCAAUUUGUUGACAAGACACAAGGGCAAUUUUGUUAGCCUUAUGCCAGAGUCUCUGAGGGGUGCCGUUGGAAAUUAUUUUCAUUGAGUAUUUUCUAUUUCUCUGCAACAUAUGUAUUUUUCUUGUGGUUGGAAAAUUCGAUUGGCACUUGAGCUAUAUAAACUCCUCUCCCCAGCUAUUUUACUCCUGCUGAUUUGGAAUUAGCAAAUAAAAAUAUAUUUGGUGAUUGAGAAGCUUUUGUUGGAUAGCAAUUUCAGUCUUAUGAUGCUGCCUAUGUUGGGUUGAAGGAGAGCUUAGAACUUGCAUUUUGACCGAGGAACCUAUAGUGUAAGCAAUAAGAUCGAAGGUCUGUUUACUGUGUUUCAGCCCUAGAGGAGCAAACUUUUAUUCUUCUUUGGUAGCAAACUUUAUUAAUGGAAUGUACAACAAAAGUGGAAAUACAUAGACAAUAGUAAAGAAUGCAAUAAUUCAAGGAAGUCUGAAAAAAAUUAGCAAGGAUGCGUAAGGUCUGCUAAACAUUAAACGAAGGAGAUCUGUUGUAUACUGAAAUUUGUAGCCAGAAAAUCUUUAUGCGAUAUUUGGAAAUAUGGAUUUUGGGUCUUUAA